rnacentral:rRNA from 1 species
CACGUAGUUAGCCGGGGCUUCUUAGUCAGGUACCGUCAUUUUCUUCCCUGCUGAUAGAAGUUUACAUACCGAAAUACUUCUUCCUUCACGCGGCGUCGCCGCAUCAGGGUUCCCCCCAUUGUGCAAUAUUCCCCACUGCUGCCUCCCGUAGGAGUUUGGGCCGUGUCUCAGUCCCAAUGUGGCCGUUCACCCUCUCAGGUCGGCUACUGAUCGUUGCCUUGGUGAGCCCUUACCUCACCAACUAGCUAAUCAGACGCGGGUCCAUCUCAUACCACCAGAGUUUUUCACACUGUACCAUGCAGUACUGUGCGCUUAUGCGGUAUUAGCAGCCAUUUCUAACUGUUAUCCCCCUGUAUGAGGCAGGUUACCCACGCGUUACUCACCCGUCCGCCACUCAGUCAUAAAAAUCUUCCUACCGUAGUAUUCUGUCUCUUAUGCUUCGUUCGACUUGCAUGUGUUAAGCUACGCCGCCAGCGUUCAUCCUGAGCCAGGAUCAAACU